AGUGGGGAAUAUUGGGCAAUGGACGAAAGUCUGACCCAGCGACGCCGCGUGCGGGAUGAAGGCCUUCGGGUUGUAAACCGCUUUCAGCAGGGAAUAAGCGCAAGUGAAGGUACCUGCAGAAGAAGCACCGGCUAACUAUGUGCCAGCAGCCGCGGUAAUACAUAGGGUGCAAGCGUUGUCCGGAAUUAUUGGGCGUAAAGAGCUCGUAGGUGGUUUGUUACGUCGGUUGUGAAAUUCAGGGGCUCAACCCCUGACUUGCAGCCGAUACGGGCAAGCUAGAGUUUGGUAGGGGAGACUGGAAUUCCUGGUGUAGCGGUGGAAUGCGCAGAUAUCAGGAGGAACACCGAUGGCGAAGGCAGGUCUCUGGGCCAAUACUGACACUGAGGAGCGAAAGCGUGGGGAGCGAACAGGAUUAGAUACCCUGGUAGUCCACGCCGUAAACGGUGGGCGCUAGUUGUGCGAACCUUCCACGGUUUGUGCGACGCAGCUAACGCAUUAAGCGCCCCGCCUGGGGAGUACGAUCGCAAGAUUA
rnacentral:rRNA from 1 species